UAUCAGCUCACGCAGAUGCAAAGCAAAUGAAGCGCCUGUCUCUUGAACUUCCUCUAAAUAACAACAACAGGGUCUGGGCUUGAGUCCCCAAGAUGUCCCAACUCACCUGGUUUCCGUCCUUGUGUCUACCUAAGCAUUGGAUAACUGGCUUCUUCUCCUAUACUACUGGCAAGUAUUACUCAGAAACAGUAGAGCUUCUCAGAAAUAUUUUAAGCAUGAUUCUAUUUUUCCCCGGCCUCAUCUUUAGCACUUAAAUCGAUGUCUCUGAAUCCUGCUUUUUUGUCCACCUGGUGAGGUUCAGCCAGCGUGGUGACCGCCACAGAAGAGGAAGGCAACGGCCUGGGGCCUGCAGAGCUGCUGACCGAGCCAUUUCCUGCCAUUGUGUGGGCCCAGCUAUAGGAGGAAAGUCAGAAGCAGUCAGACUGGGAAUCAAGAUUGGACAUCGCUCGCCUCUGCGCAGGAUCACGGAGGGAGGGAACCCAUGGAUAUGUGGAGGGAUCAGCUAGCUGUUCUUGGGAUUCUCCUGCUAAAGCAAAAUGCCACUGCUGGAACCCCUGCAAGGAGAGAUCUUUCCAGAAUCCCCAAGGAAGACUUCAGAGAAGACCUGCUCCACAGUCCCCAGUUUUCCCUCCUGCCCACUCACCUGCGUAGGAAGACACGGGGGAAAUCUGCAGAGGGUACAGCUCACUCAUGCUGACUGGCUGCUCAUCACUCUCGGUGGUCACCUCCACAACUUGGCAAAUGUCUGGC